rnacentral:rRNA from 1 species
UACAGAGGGUGCAAGCGUUAAUCGGAAUUACUGGGCGUAAAGCGUGCGUAGACGGUUAUGUAAGUCAGAUGUGAAAGCCCCCGGCUCAACUGGGGAGGGUCACGCGAUACUGCUCGACUUGAAGGCAGGAGAGGGAAGUGGAAUUCCCGGUGUAGUGGUGAAAUGCGUAGAUAUCGGGAGGAACACCAGUGGCGAAGGCGACUUCCUGGCCUGUUCUUGACGCUGAGGCGCGAGAGCGUGGGGAGCAAACAGG